rnacentral:rRNA from 1 species
AAACCAGCACCUCAAGUGGUCAGGAGGAUUAUUGGGCCUAAAGCAUCCGUAGCCUGCUCUGUAAGUUUCCGGUUAAAUUCAUUAGCUCAACUAAUGGCUUGCCGGAAAUACUGCAGAGCUAGGAAGUGGGAGAGGUAGACGGUACUCGGUAGGAAGGGGUAAAAUCCUUUGAUCUAUUGAUGACCACCUGUGGCGAAGGCGGUCUACCAGAACACGUUCGACGGUGAGGGAUGAAAGCUGGGGGAGCAAACCGGAUUAGAAACCCGAGUAGUCC